rnacentral:lncRNA from 1 species
CGCUUGAGAACGCUGCAAGAAUACUUGAGAAUGCUGUGAGAACGCUUGAGAAUGUUGUAAGAACACUUGAGAAUGCUGUGAGAACGCUAUAAGAACGCUGUAAGAAUGCUUGAGAAUGCUGUAAGAACGCUUAAGAAUGGUGAGAGAACGGUGUAAGAACGCUGUAAGAACGCUUAAGAAUGGUGAGAGAACGCUGUAAGAACGCUUGAGAACGCUGUAAGAACGCUUAAGAAUGGUGAGAGAACGCUGUAAGAACGCUUGAGAACACUGUAAGAACGCUUAAGAAUGGUGAGAGAACGGUGUAAGAACGCUUGAGAACGCUUUAAGAACGCUUAAGAUUGGUGAGAGAACGGUGUAAGAACGCUUAAGAGUGGUGAAAGAUUGCUUAAGAAUGCGUGAGAAAAUGGUUUGAGAAUGUCCUUGAGAACGGGUAAGAUCGCUGAGAACGCUUAAGAUUCCCUGCAAAGAGCGCUCUCUUGAGAUCGCUUAAGAACGCUUGAGAAGGCACAAUCUUAAAACAUGGCAGAUAAGAGCGUUCUCAGAACGCUCUUAACAGCGGCAUCUACUUGUGCUUUAUAUGGCUUAAGAUCGCGUUGAGAGCGCUCUUAAAGCGGUUUCAUUUUGGUAGGGGUAGGGUCGGGCUGGAGCCAACUAUAGCACAGCCAGAGACUCUUGAUCCUGAGUAAGGUAAUUAUUACAAAGACGAUAACACUUGUUAGUUUGAUGCUGCAAUGAGUGGCAAAGCACAAUGAGACAGGUACAGAUCCUGCCUGUGGGUCGCCGCUGUACUGCCAAGAGAUUGGCUGGCGCUAAUGAAAGGCACCAACGGCAAAUAUAUUUGAGGUGGAACCAUUCUGUUUAUUCAUGCAAGCAGCUAACCGCGGUCUAUGUGAGCGAGGUAGUUCGACUGUGCAAGCAUGGCAGUCCAGCAGCCAAGCUGGCUAAGUCGUAUUCAUUUCUUUAACUUUAUGUCCGUGUAUAUUUUGCAUUUUUGUGUUAUGUUGGGUUCAUUGUUCAUUUCUUCUCUUCCGUCAGCGGUUGCUCCAGAUCCGUGGUCAAGGUUGGAUAUUACUUGUGCUGGGCUAAAUAGCAUCAAGUUCAAAUCCUUUCCAGACUGCUUAUGCACGGCAUACUGUCAUUGCUACCGCUCAUUAUUGCGCUCGCCAAUGAUCGGCCCAAAAAUUAUAAUAGUCGUAGAAAUAGUUCUUUGUUCUUUCUGAAAAGCUGUAACUCUUAGGUGAAAAAUGAUUCUUCCUUUCUUUCUAACUCUAAAAAGGUAACCUCUUAGGUAAAAAAUGAUACUGCCAUACAGUCUCUAUAGGGAAGAAGGCCAAUGAUGCCGUACAGUCCCUAUAGGGAAGAAGGCCAAUGAUGCCGUACAGUCUCUAUAGGGCCCUCAAGUCGUAAAGCCUAAAGGGAAUUCUAUCCGUCGCUGUCUCUACAUGCUAAGCGGAAUCUGCAGCAAUUUUUCUUUGAAGUAUAUGACAGCAAGUUUAAGCAUAUUGAUUUUUAGCCUUGUAGCGUGCUUGAUGCUGUGUGGUUAAAGCACUGUGUUCCGCGUCAGCGUCCAUUUUGCCUGCCAAAAGUGGUGAACCACUUAAUCAAAUGCAAAUUUACAAUGCCAUAAAAACGAAAAUGUAGGUAGUGCUGUUACGCACUUUUCGGCGGCGGCAAGAUUUCGCACGGCAUCAUCGCACGACCGAUCUGCGUCGCUGUUCAGCCAGUAUUUAACCCAGUACAUAAAUAGCAAACACUCAGUUUUACAUAUGACUUCUUCUUUUCACAAUUUGUAAGGUUAGUUUGGCUUCUUUUCCUUCGCCGUUAUCGUUGUGAUAGACUGAUCCUUGAGUUAAUACAUUCAUUAAAGCCUUGGACUGCUAGUGAAUAUAAAGCUAAUAAAUGCUGUCAUUGUCGGUACAAUCGCUGACACCAAACACACACAAUUUACUUUGAUUAAUCGCAUGACAUAACAAUGGAGGCGAAACAUACACGCCCCCCUCCCCCAACCAGCCCCAGCCACCCUCCAUAGCAUCAGGAACAAGAAAGAGGGCAACAGGUAACGAUUCCACAACGAAACACACAACCGUGGCACAGAUGUGGCCCACCACUACCUGCCUACAUCAAACAAAUCUGCCGUACUCCGAUAGCCAUAUCAGAGUACGACAGCGUUUUGAUGCCCCACGUAAAACACAUAAGAGCCCCGACCCUCGCCCCCAUCUUACCUCCAUUCCCGGCUGGACGUCGGCCCCAUCUUCCGAGGCCUGCUGCACGUGCAGCACAUGGAUGGGAACAUGACAAUUAGCAUCAGGAACAAGAAAGAGGGCAACGGGUAACGAAUACACAACGAAACACACAAACGUGGCACAGAUGUGGCCCACCACUACCUGCCUACAUCAAACAAAUCUGCCGUACUCCGAUAGCCAUAUCGUAGUACGACAGCGUCUUGAUGCCCCACGUAAAACACAUAAGAGCCCCGACCCUCGCCCCCAUCUUACCUCCAUUCCCGGUUGGACGUUGGCCCCAUCUUCCGAGGCCUGCUGCACGUGCAGCACAUGGAUGGGAACAUGACAAUUAGGGCAGGCACGUCAAUGGCGGAGGCGAAACAUACACGCCCCCCUCCCCCAACCAGCCCCAGCCACCCUCCAUAGCAUCAGGAACAAGAAAGAGGGCAACAGGUAACGAUUCCACAACGAAACACACAACCGUGGCACAGAUGUGGCCCACCACUACCUGCCUACAUCAAACAAAUCUGCCGUACUCCGAUAGCCAUAUCAGAGUACGACAGCGUUUUGAUGCCCCACGUAAAACACAUAAGAGCCCCGACCCUCGCCCCCAUCUUACCUCCAUUCCCGGCUGGACGUCGGCCCCAUCUUCCGAGGCCUGCUGCACGUGCAGCACAUGGAUGGGAACAUGACAAUUAGCAUCAGGAACAAGAAAGAGGGCAACGGGUAACGAAUACACAACGAAACACACAAACGUGGCACAGAUGUGGCCCACCACUACCUGCCUACAUCAAACAAAUCUGCCGUACUCCGAUAGCCAUAUCGUAGUACGACAGCGUCUUGAUGCCCCACGUAAAACACAUAAGAGCCCCGACCCUCGCCCCCAUCUUACCUCCAUUCCCGGUUGGACGUUGGCCCCAUCUUCCGAGGCCUGCUGCACGUGCAGCACAUGGAUGGGAACAUGACAAUUAGGGCAGGCACGUCAAUGGCGGAGGCGAAACAUACACGCCCCCCUCCCCCAACCAGCCCCAGCCACCCUCCAUAGCAUCAGGAACAAGAAAGAGGGCAACGGGUAACGAUUCUACAACGAAACACACAACCGUGGCACAGAUGUGGCCCACCACUAUCUGCCUACAUCAAACAAAUCUGCCGUACUCCGAUAGCCAUAUCGGAGUACGACAGCAUUUUGAUGGCCCAUGAAAAACACAUAAGAGCCCCGACCCCCGCCCCCAUCUUACCUCCAUUCCCGGCUGGACGUCGGCCCCAUCUUCCGAGGCCUGCUGCACGUGCAGCACAUGGAUGGGAACAUGACAAUUAGGGCAGGCACGUCAAUGGCGGAGGCGAAACAUACACGCCCCCCUCCCCCAACCAGCCCCAGCCACCCUCCAUAGCAUCAGGAACAAGAAAGAGGGCAACGGGUAACGAUUCCACAACGAAACACACAACCGUGGCGCAGAUGUGGCCCACCACUACCUGCCUACAUUGGGACAUUGGACAUUGAAGCCAUAAUAGCCAAAGCACAUUGGGAAGCAUGAAUAUAGCCGGUGAACUUAUCAUAAGUGAAAUUUAGGUUACUUAGGGUGUUUGCCACUUGUUUUGGUGCUCCGAUGUAACAUGACCAUUGGUAGUCAUGGUCAUGGCCCAAAGGAACGCCGAUUGUUCCAGCACAAAGUAGAAUAUAGUUGAUGAACAAAUAAGUACAUAGGCAAGGUUAC